GGCUCCUGCGUGGCAAGCGCGGGAGUGGGCUGUCUCGGUGGCCCGUCCCGUAACAGCGCCUGCUUCCUUCUCUUGCUCCCGUUCCCCAUGGCGGCCAGAUCGGCGCUCCUCGUCCCGCUGCUGCUGCUGCUGCUCCUGCUCCCGCUCCCACCGUGGCCGGGUGGCGCCGCGGCCUCCCGCAAGGCCGUGACGGCCCGUCUGGCGGCCAAGUGGGCGGCCGCGCCGCUGCUGCUGGAGGCGAGUGAAUUUAUUGCAGAAGAAAGUAAUGAGAAGUUUUGGCAAUUUUUGGAAACUGUACGAGAAUUAACAAUUUAUAAGCAAGGAGACUCAGACCAUUCUUAUUACAACUUAAUCUUGAAGAAAGCAGGACAAUUUUUAUCAAACUUGCAGAUCAAUCUAUUGAAGUUUGCCCUUUCUAUAAGGGCAUACUCUCCAACUGUUCAUAUGUUUCAACAGAUUGCAGUUGAUGAACCUCCACCAGAAGGUUGCAGUGCAUUUGUGGUUAUCCAUGAGAAGCACACCUGUAAGACUAAUGAAAUUAAAAAACUUCUGAAGAAAGCUACUAAGAGACCAAGGCCAUAUCUGUUUAAAGGAGAUCAUAAAUUCCCUACACUCAAGGAGAAUGUUCCUGUGGUUAUUCUUUAUGCUGAAAUGGGUACAGAAGAUUUUGUUAAAUUUCACAAGGUUUUGUCUGAAAAGGCCCAGAAGGAGGAAAUUAUUUAUGUUCUCCGACAUUAUGUUCAGCAGAAAUCAGGCUCCAGGAAAACAUAUUUGUCUGGAUAUGGUGUGGAACUUGCAAUAAAGAGUACAGAAUACAAAGCAGUGGAUGACACUCAGGUUAAAGCAACAAAUGACACAACAGGAGAGGAAGGUGAUGAGGAAAAUGAAGUACAAGGAUUUAUCUUUGGUAAGCUAAGACAGAUGUAUCCUAAUCUUAAGGAUAAUUUGAAGGAGUUCAGAAAGCACCUGAUUGAAAGUACUAAUAACAUGGAACUUCUGAAAGUCUGGGAACUACAAGAUCUCAGUUUUCAAGCAGCUUCUCAAAUUAAAUCGACCCCUGUUUAUGAUGCCUUAAAGGUAAUGAAAGACAUUGCACAGAACUUCCCUGUAAAGGCCAGAUCUUUGACCAGAGUUCCUGUAAACCAACAAAUGAAAAAUGAAAUAGAGGAAAAUCAGAAGCAUUUCUAUGAAACACUUGGUAUUCAGCCUGGAGAAGCAUGUUUACUUCUAAACGGUCUUCAUAUUGACCUGGAUUUUCAUGAUCCAUUUAGUAUUUUAGAAACUCUUAAAAUGGAGGGAAAAGUUAUGCAUGGUCUUCAUGAACUUGGAAUCAAAGAGGAGGCUCUUAGCAAACUUAGGAAUUUAGAUAUCCAUCCUGCAAAUGACAGUUAUGCAUUAGAUAUUCGUCAUUCUUCAAUAACAUGGGUCAAUAACAUAGAAAAAGAUCAUAUCUACAGCACAUGGCCCACAAGUUUCCAGGAACUGCUUAAACCAACAUUUCCAGAAGUUAUAAAGCAGAUUAGGCGGAAUUUGUAUAAUUUGGUACUGUUUAUUGAUCCUGUCCAGGAAAAUGCAGCUGAUUUUAUGAAACUGGCAGAAUUAACCUAUCAUCAUAACAUGCCACUUAGAGUUGGAGUUGUUUUCAUCUUAAAUACUAAUGAAGAAAUUGAUGGGAAUGAAGAUGCUGGAGUAGCUCUUUGGAGAGCUUUUAACUAUAUUGCAGAAGAAUCUGACAUCUCUCAAGCUUUUAUCUCCAUAAUCAAUAUGUUUCAUGAAGUGAAAGAGGGAGAUUUUCUCACUGUGAAUCAUGUGAAAAACAUUCUUAGAAGUGAAUUUCCUCGUGCUAAUGUUCCAAGUAUACUGGGUAUUCAUUCUGAAUAUGAUGAGGAAAGGAAGGCAGGAGCAACCUUUUAUAAGAAGAUUGGCCUGGGUCCAUUGCCUCAAGCUCUGUUUAAUGGUGUGCCCUUUAACAGUGAAGAGAUGAAUGCUGCAAAGUUAGAGACAAUUAUUCUCCAGAAGAUCAUUGAUGCCACUGGGUUCUUCCAGAGGGCAGUUUUCAUGGGUUUGUUAAAUGAUCAAAUGGACACAGUGGAUUUCCUCAUGGAACAACAUAAUGCAAUUUCCCGUAUAAACCCCACCAUUUUUAGUACUGAAAGAAGAUACAUAAAUUUCAUUUCCACUUCAGUUCCUGUUGACACAGAAGAUUUUUCAACUUUCUCCUUUUUGGACUCACAAGAUAAGAGUGCUGUAAUUUCUGAGAACAUGAAGUAUUUAACAAGGAAGGAUGAAGAUGUAAUAUAUGCAGUUACUAUUUGGAUUAUUGCUGAUUUUGACAAGCCAGCUGGGAGACGACUGCUUUCAAAUGCUUUGAAACACCUGAAAACAAGCAGCCAUACAAGACUUGGGCUUGUGAACAACCCUGGGUCAAAAAUAACUGAAGAUAACACAGCUAUUGCCAGGGGAAUUUUGACAGCUUUUCUAACACAGAAAAACAGCAGUUUAAGAAGUUUUUUAAGCAAGUUAGUUAAGGAGGAGACAGCAGAAGCCCUUGCUAUAGGAACGAAAAUUAAGGAAUUCUUUGUUCUGGGAAUAGAUGACAAUAUUUUUGAGAAAAAAUACAACACUUUAGGAGUGAAUGUAAUUAAAACCCACCAGAUGUUCUGUCAAGAGGUUCUUAAACUGCUUCCUGGACAAAUGGCUGUUGUAAGCAAUGGGAGAAUCUUGGGCCCUUUAGAUGAAAAUGAAUUCUAUACAGAAGAUUUCCAGUUGUUGGAAAAAAUAACAUUUAGUACCUCAGGAGAGAAGAUUAAAGCCAUUGUCAAGGAGAUGAAGAUCAGCAAUAAGCGUGCCAGUGAUUUGAUUAUGAAAGUAGAUGCCCUUCUCUCUUCAUUGACAAAAAAGGAGAUGAGACAGGCUGUUCAGUUUCUCAAAGAGCAUCACAGCAUAGUAAAAAUAGAUCCUCAACAGAAUGAACCAUUCUAUGAUGUGGUUGCUAUCCUUGAUCCACUGACAAGAGAAGCACAGAAGAUGGCACAUUUAUUGAUUGUACUGAGAGACAUUGUCAACAUGAAACUGAAGCUUUUUAUGAAUUGUAGAUCUAAACUGUCAGAAGUACCUUUGAAGAGCUUUUAUCGUUUUGUGUUGGAGCCAGAGCUGACUGCCGGGGCCAACAACCUCUUUCCUUCUGAGCCUGUGGCAAAAUUCCUUGAAAUGCCAGAAUCACCUCUGUUGACUCUAAAUAUGAUCACUCCUGAAAGCUGGUUGGUUGAAGCAGUAAACAGUUCCUAUGAUCUUGAUAACAUUCACUUAGAGGAUAUAGAAGGAAUUGUUACAGCAGAAUAUGAACUGGAAUAUCUAUUACUUGAAGGACAUUGCUUUGAUAUAACUACGGGACAACCUCCUCAGGGCUUACAGUUCACACUAGGCAUGAAGAAUAAUCCUGUUAUGGUUGAUACCAUAGUGAUGGCCAACUUGGGAUAUUUCCAGCUGAAAGCAAAUCCAGGUGCCUGGACACUGAGAUUACGCAAAGGAAGAUCUGAUGAUGUCUACCACAUACUUUACCAUGAAGGAACAGAUUCCCCAGCUGGUCUGAAAGAUGUUGUUGUUGUUCUAAAUAACUUCAGGAGCAAAAUCAUCAAAAUACAAGUGCAGAAAAAAGCUAAUAAAAUCAAUGAAGAUCUCCUUAAUGAUGGGGUUACAGAAGAAAAAGGAAUUUGGGAAUCAAUUACAAGUUUUUCAGGAGGAAUUCAAACAGAAGAAAAAGAGAGGAAAAAUUAUUCUCUAAAUAUUUUUUCAGUUGCCUCAGGUCAUUUAUAUGAACGCUUCUUAAGAAUUAUGAUGGUUUCUGUUCUGCGUCAUACCAAGACACCAGUUAAGUUUUGGUUUCUGAAAAAUUACCUCUCGCCAACAUUUAAAGAAGUUAUUCCCUACCUGGCUAAAGAAUAUGGAUUCCAAUAUGAAUUGGUGCAAUAUAAGUGGCCCCGCUGGCUAUAUCAACAAACAGAAAAACAAAGAAUAAUUUGGGGUUACAAAAUUCUUUUCCUGGAUGUUCUUUUUCCGUUGGCUGUGGACAAAAUAAUAUUUGUUGAUGCUGAUCUGAUUGUGAGAGAUGACUUAAGAGAACUUAGAGAUUUAGAUCUAAAUGGAGCUCCCUAUGGAUACACUCCUUUCUGUGACAGUCGCACAGAAAUGGAUGGGUACCGUUUCUGGAAAUCAGGGUAUUGGGCAUCACAUCUUGGGAAAAGGAAAUACCACAUAAGCGCCUUGUAUGUUGUAGAUCUUAAGAAGUUCAGAAGGAUUGCUGCAGGAGACAGGCUUCGGGGCCAGUACCAAGCUCUCAGUCAAGAUCCAAACAGUCUUUCAAACUUAGAUCAGGAUCUUCCCAAUAACAUGAUUCAUCAAGUGGCCAUUAAGUCUCUUCCUCAAGAAUGGCUCUGGUGUGAAACCUGGUGUGAUGAUGAAUCCAAGAAAAAGGCUAAAACAAUUGACUUGUGCAAUAACCCCCAAACCAAAGAACCUAAACUGAAGGCUGCUGUCAGGAUAAUUCCUGAAUGGGUUGAGUAUGACUCUGAAAUACAAAAGCUUAUAAAGCAAAUUGAAAGAGAGAAGAAAAGCCUAACUCAAUCCUUUCAAAAAAUUUUCAAGCGUGAUGAGCUCUAGCAUGAUUCAGUUGUGGUGACACAAAGCAAUCUUCUACAUGAGAUGGAACGGAGGAUGUGACUACUGCUGUGGCACUAUUUUCAACAUCUUAUCAAUGUGAACUCAUUUUUUAAUUUAUAUGGACUUUGUUUAAACCAUUUAAAUGGAAUGAAAAUAUAUUGUAAGAUCAGUACAUGGGAAAUGUUUCAGUUUUCUUUUUGUUCUGAGCAAGGUUUAAAAGAAGAAAAUGUGUUUAUAGUUGGCCAACUUGACCAUUCCUUGGUGUCUACUAUAUGUUUAUAAAAACAACAUUCACAAAAAUACAAAUAUCUGAAAGCAGGUGAAAUGUAAAUUCAUUUUAAUUAAAAUCUAGUAUCUUAAAUAA